AGUUAUCGAGCUUAGGCUGCUCGUGUACAGCUCUACUCAAAACACACUGCCUUCCGUCCUCGCAGACUCAAGAGCGGGGUCGAGCAGUGAUGCUCGUCACGACCCGGUGAACGUUAGCAAGACGCCUCACCCUCACCUUCUGAUGGAAGAUCAGAAGCAAAUUCUAAAAGCAGUGUUUGGAGAAUCAUCAUCAGACACCGAAGAUGAAAACGAACGGUCCGAUUUCAUCCAUACACAUGGGGAGAAAAACCCUAGCUGGGAAAGGGUAAAGGAGAUCGACGGGUUAUGGUUGUGCAGCGACUUUCUCUCUCCGGAGCGGCAAUCUUCGUUGCUUUCUUCGAUCCAACGCGAAGGAUGGUUCACUGAAGCUUCUCAUAAUCAGGCUAUGCGGUUUGGAGAUCUUCCAGAGUGGGCAAUGGAACUCUCUGGAUUUAUCCGUGAGGCAGUGUUUUGUAGCGAAUUCUUUUCCGAGUUAUGCGAGGAGACGAUUCCUAAACAAGAUGAUGCGGAAGCAUGUCCCUUGGCAUCGGACUUGCUGUGGAGAGAGCCACUCUUUGAUCAACUAAUUGUAAACGUAUACCAACCAGGUGAGGGAAUAUGCGGUCAUGUGGACCUCAUGCGCUUUGAUGAUGGAAUUGCGAUCAUCUCCCUAGAAUCUGCUUGCGUGAUGCACUUCACGCGGGUUGAAAGAGAAGCUCAUGGAGAUGAAAAUGGAGAAGAAGAGAAAGAAGGUUCUCUAACUAGAAAGGUUCCCGUCUUCUUGUCUCCCGGAUCACUAGUCCUCAUGUCGGGAGAAGCUCGGUAUCUUUGGAAGCAUGAGAUAAACCGUAAGAGGGGGUUUCAGGUAUGGGAAGGGCAGGAGAUCCAUCAAUUGAGAAGGACCUCAGUGACAUUAAGGAAGCUCUGCCAACCCAAGUAAGCUCUGUUGUGGUGCAUUCCGCAGCCUGAACUGCCUAGUGUGGGCCCCACUCAUUUGCAAAAUCGAGCCUUUUAAACCAGUUUCCUCUUCUAGAAGGGUGGCAUAUAAUCUGGACUGUUCAUCGAGUGGCCCUAACAGCAAUCAGACUGUACAAAUUAUGUUGGAACAUGUACAGCACAAGUGCCAAUCUGUCAUGGGGUGGUGGAGCAUCUGAAGAGCGAAUAAAGUGGGCCCACCGUGAAGACGACCUGGCAUGAAAAUCAGGCAAGUGCACUUAUCACUACAGCUGUUCCUAUUGAAUCUUCACCAUUUGCUUUUAAAGAAAGAAAGAAAAGAUUUUUUUU